rnacentral:tRNA from 1 species
GGCCUAUUAGCUCAGUUGGUUAGAGAGUCGUGCUAAUAACGCGAAGGUCGCAGGUUCGAUACCUGCAUAGGCCA